UGCCCAGUGAUGAUAACCAUCCUUGCUCCCCGUGCCCGCUGGGGCUGUGGGCGACAACCAUGGCUGCCCUGGGCUGGGCCAGUUGGGCCAUUGCCUGGGGACUGAGGGCA